AGACGGAGGGUGCAAGCGUUGUUCGGAAUCACUGGGCGUAAAGCGCGUGUAGGCGGUUCGAUUAGUCGAGUGUGAAAGCCCUGGGCUCAACCUGGGAAGUGCAUUGGAAACUGGGCAACUUGAGUACGGGAGAGGGUAGUGGAAUUCCGAGUGUAGGGGUGAAAUCCGUAGAUAUUCGGAGGAACACCGGUGGCGAAGGCGGCUACCUGGACCGAUACUGACGCUGAGACGCGAAAGCGUGGGGAGC
rnacentral:rRNA from 1 species